AUAUAUUUUGUAUAUGCUUUGUUAACAGGUUGAAAUUUUGGGAAAUGAUCAAAUUACAGGGGAGGCACUGCCAAAUUUUCGACAGAAGUUGAACUUGUAAUAAACCUUGAAUUUUAAUUAGAGGGGCAAUUUAGUCAUUCGUGCCCAGCACCUGCCAGGUGUCGAACACGCACAGGGUUCAGCUCGGAUUCCAAAGUGGAAUUUGGGUCGGGUCUUGUCAACUUGGUAUCAGAGCAUUAGGUGUAAAUUCUUG
rnacentral:lncRNA from 1 species